rnacentral:rRNA from 1 species
GAUGAACGCUGGCGGCGUGCCUAAUACAUGCAAGUCGAGCGAACAGACGAGGAGCUUGCUCCUCUGACGUUAGCGGCGGACGGGUGAGUAACACGUGGAUAACCUACCUAUAAGACUGGGAUAACUUCGGGAAACCGGAGCUAAUACCGGAUAAUAUAUUGAACCGCAUGGUUCAAUAGUGAAAGACGGUUUUGCUGUCACUUAUAGAUGGAUCCGCGCCGCAUUAGCUAGUUGGUAAGGUAACGGCUUACCAAGGCGACGAUGCGUAGCCGACCUGAGAGGGUGAUCGGCCACCCUGGAACUGAGACACGGUCCCGACUCCUACGGGAGGCAGCAGUAGGGAAUCUUCCGCAAUGGGCGAAAGCCUGACGGAGCAACGCCGCGUGAGUGAUGAAGGUCUUCGGAUCGUAAAACUCUGUUAUUAGGGAAGAACAAAUGUGUAAGUAACUAUGCACGUCUUGACGGUACCUAAUCAGAAAGCCACGGCUAACUACGUG